CAGUCGCCGCGGUAAUACCGGGGAUGCAAGCGUUAUCCGGAAUGAUUGGGCGUAAAGCGAGCGCAGGCGGUUAGAAAAGUCUGAAGUGAAAGGCAGUGGCUCAACCAUUGUAGGCUUUGGAAACUGUUUAACUUGAGUGCAGAAGGGGAGAGUGGAAUUCCAUGUGUAGCGGUGAAAUGCGUAGAUAUAUGGAGGAACACCGGUGGCGAAAGCGGCUCUCUGGUCUGUAACUGACGCUGAGGCUCGAAAGCGUGGGGAGCGAACAGGAUUAGAUACCCCAGUAGUCCCUGUCUCUUAUACA
rnacentral:rRNA from 1 species